UACAGAGGUCUCAAGCGUUGUUCGGAUUCAUUGGGCGUAAAGGGUGCGUAGGUGGCGCCGUAAGUCAGGUGUGAAAUUUCGGAGCUUAACUUCGAAACUGCAUUUGAUACUGCGGUGCUUGAGGACUGGAGAGGAGACUGGAAUUUACGGUGUAGCAGUGAAAUGCGUAGAGAUCGUAAGGAAGACCAGUGGCGAAGGCGGGUCUCUGGACAGUUCCUGACACUGAGGCACGAAGGCCAGGGGAGCAAACGGG
rnacentral:rRNA from 1 species